rnacentral:rRNA from 1 species
UGGGAAUUUGGACAAUGGGCGAAGCCUGAUCCAGCAAUGCCGCGUGUGUGAAGAAGGCCUUCGGGUUGUAAAGCACUUUUGUCCGGAAAGAAAUCCUUGGCUCUAAUACAGUCGGGGGAUGACGGUACCGGAAGAAUAAGCACCGGCUAACUACGUGCCAGCAGCCGCGGUAAUACGUAGGGUGCAAGCGUUAAUCGGAAUUACUGGGCGUAAAGCGUGCGCAGGCGGUUUGCUAAGACCGAUGUGAAAUCCCCGGGCUCAACCUGGGAACUGCAUUGGUGACUGGCAGGCUAGAGUAUGGCAGAGGGGGGUAGAAUUCCACGUGUAGCAGUGAAAUGCGUAGAGAUGUGGAGGAAUACCGAUGGCGAAGGCAGCCCCCUGGGCCAAUACUGACGCUCAUGCACGAAAGCGUGGGGAGCAAACAGGAUUAGAUACCCUGGUAGUCCACGCCCUAAACGAUGUCAACUAGUUGUUGGGGAUUCAUUCCUUAGUAACGUAGCUAACGCGUGAAGUUGACCGCCUGGGGAGUACGGUCGCAAGAUUAAAACUCAAAUGAAUUGACGGGGUCAUAGCUGUUUCCU